GUGUUUUAUGGCACUUUUUAAUCCAUAUCCACCUUGUGUGCAAUGUCAGUUGUUCUCUUUUUUGAGAAUGACCAAACAUCAACUUAAAUUUUAACUCUUUGUCUGAAAAAUAUUAUGAAUAAAAUAAUUCAAAAUACAACUUUCAACAACGGAUCUCUUGGCUCUCGCAUCGAUGAAGAACGCAGCGAAAUGCGAUACGUAAUGUGAAUUGCAGAAUUCAGUGAAUCAUCGAAUCUUUGAACGCAUAUUGCGCUCUUUGGUAUUCCGAAGAGCAUGCUUGUUUGAGUAUCAGUAAACACCUCAAAGACUUCAAUUUGUUUUGAAUGGCUUUGGACUUGAGCAAUCCCAACACCAGUCUUUACGAUCGGUGGAGGGUUGCUUGAAAUGCAGGUGCAGCUGGACAUUCUCCUGAGCUAAAAGCAUAUUUAUUUAGUCCCGUCAAACGGAUUAUUACUUUUGCUGCAGCUAACAUAAAGGGAGUUUGACCGUAUUGGCUGACUGAUGCAGGAUUUCACAAGGGUCGGCAACGAUUCUUGUAAAACUCGAUCUCAAAUCAAGUAAGACUACCCGCUGAACUUAAGCAUAUCAAUAAGCGGAGGAAAAGAAACUAACAAGGAUUCCCCUAGUAACGGCGAGUGAAGCGGGAUGAGCUCAAAUUUAAAAUCUGGCUGGUUUACUAGUCCGAAUUGUAGUUUAUAGAAGCGUUUUCGGUGGCAGCCUGGGUAUAAGUCCUUUGGAAUAGGGUAUCAUAGAGGGUGAGAAUCCCGUCUUUGACUCAGUGCAUGCUACUAUGUGAUACGUUUUCAAAGAGUCGAGUUGUUUGGGAAUGCAGCUCAAAGUGGGUGGUAAAUUUCAUCUAAAGCUAAAUAUUGGCGAGAGACCGAUAGCGAACAAGUACCGUGAGGGAAAGAUGAAAAGAACUUUGAAAAGAGA
rnacentral:rRNA from 1 species